rnacentral:rRNA from 1 species
AUUGAACGCUGGCGGCAUGCUUUAUACAUGCAAGUCGAACGGCAGCGCGGGCUUCGGCCUGGCGGCGAGUGGCGAACGGGUGAGUAAUACAUCGGAACGUGCCCAGUAGUGGGGGAUAGCUCGGCGAAAGCCGGAUUAAUACCGCAUACGACCUGAGGGUGAAAGCGGGGGAUCUUCGGACCUCGCGCUAUUGGAGCGGCCGAUGGCAGAUUAGCUAGUUGGUGGGGUAAAGGCCUACCAAGGCGACGAUCUGUAGCUGGUCUGAGAGGACGACCAGCCACACUGGGACUGAGACACGGCCCAGACUCCUACGGGAGGCAGCAGUGGGGAAUUUUGGACAAUGGGCGAAAGCCUGAUCCAGCAAUGCCGCGUGUGUGAUGAAGGCCUUCGGGUUGUAAAACACUUUUGGCGGGAACGAAAAGGACUGUGCCAAUACCACGGUUCGAUGACGGUACCCGCAGAAUAAGCACCGGCUAACUACGUG